ensembl:misc_RNA Metazoa_SRP Metazoan signal recognition particle RNA
GCUGGGUGUGGUGGUGCACGCCUGUAGUCCCAGCUACUCAGGAGGCUGAUGCAGGAGAAUCACUUGAGCCCAGGAGUUCAAGGCUGCAGUGAGCCAUAAUCGCGCCACUGCACUCCAGCCUGGGUGACAGAGCGUGACCCUGUCUCGA